GACGAACGCUGGCGGCGUGCUUAACACAUGCAAGUCGAACGGAAAGGCCCUGCUUUUGUGGGGUGCUCGAGUGGCGAACGGGUGAGUAACACGUGAGUAACCUGCCCUUGACUUUGGGAUAACUUCAGGAAACUGGGGCUAAUACCGGAUAGGAGCUCCUGCUGCAUGGUGGGGGUUGGAAAGUUUCGGCGGUUGGGGAUGGACUCGCGGCUUAUCAGCUUGUUGGUGGGGUAGUGGCUUACCAAGGCUUUGACGGGUAGCCGGCCUGAGAGGGUGACCGGCCACAUUGGGACUGAGAUACGGCCCAGACGCCUACGGGAGGCAGCAGUGGGGAAUAUUGCACAAUGGGCGGAAGCCUGAUGCAGCAACGCCGCGUGCGGGAAGACGGCCUUCGGGUUGUAAACCGCUUUCGCCUGUGACGAAGCGUGAGUGACGGUAAUGGGUAAAGAAGCACCGGCUAACUACGUG
rnacentral:rRNA from 1 species